AUUGAACGCUAGCGGGAUGCUUUACACAUGCAAGUCGAACGGAGUGGCGGACGGGUGAGUAAUAUAUCGGAACGUGCCCAGUAGCGGGGGAUAACUACUCGAAAGAAUGGCUAAUACCGCAUACUCUUGGAGCGGCCGAUAUCGGAUUAGCUAGUUGGUGGGGUAAAGGCUCACAAAGUCAACGAUCCGUAGCUGGUUGGAGAGGACGACCAGCCACACUGGGACUGAGACACGGCCCAGACUCCUACGGUAGUCAGCAGUGGGGAAUGGUGGACAAGGGGGGAAACCCUGAUCCAGCCAUCCCGCGUGUAUUAUGAAGGCCUUCGGGUUGGAAAAUACUUUUGGCAGAGAAUCGGUAUCUGCAGAAUAAGCACCGGCUAACUACGUGCCAGCAGCCGCGGUAAUAC
rnacentral:rRNA from 1 species